rnacentral:rRNA from 1 species
UACGGGGGGGGCAAGCGUUGUUCGGAAUUAUUGGGCGUAAAGGGCGCGUAGGCGGUGCGGUAAGUCUGCAGUGAAAUCUCUGGGCUCAACUCAGAGUCUGCUGUCGAAACUGCCGUGCUUGAGUGUGGGAGAGGUGAGUGGAAUUCCCGGUGUAGCGGUGAAAUGCGUAGAUAUCUGGAAGAACACCAAAGGCGAAGGCAGUGUCCUGGGUGGUCGCUGACGCUGAGAGGCGAAAGCCAGGGGAGCGAACGGG